GUCUCCUACGGGGCGCAGCAGUGAGGAAUAUUGGUCAAUGGGCGCAAGCCUGAACCAGCCAAGUCGCGUGAGGGAUGACGGUCCUAUGGAUUGUAAACCUCUUUUGUCGGGGAGCAAGGCCCGCCACGUGUGGCGGGAAGGAGAGUACCUGAAGAAAAAGCAUCGGCUAACUCCGUGCCAGCAGCCGCGGUAAUACGGAGGAUGCGAGCGUUAUCCGGAUUUAUUGGGUUUAAAGGGUGCGUAGGCGGAAUAUC
rnacentral:rRNA from 1 species